rnacentral:rRNA from 1 species
CGCAUGAAUUAUUUGAUUCUCUUCGGAGUUGACGAUAAUGGAAUGAGCGGCGGACGGGUGAGUAACACGUAGGCAACCUGCCUGUAAGACUGGGAUAACUCGUGGAAACGCGAGCUAAUACCGGAUAACACUUUUCAUCUCCUGAUGAGAAGUUGAAAGGCGGCUUUUGCUGUCACUUACAGAUGGGCCUGCGGCGCAUUAGCUAGUUGGUAAGGUAACGGCUUACCAAGGCGACGAUGCGUAGCCGACCUGAGAGGGUGAUCGGCCACACUGGGACUGAGACACGGCCCAGACUCCUACGGGAGGCAGCAGUAGGGAAUCUUCCGCAAUGGACGAAAGUCUGACGGAGCAACGCCGCGUGAGUGAUGAAGGUUUUCGGAUCGUAAAACUCUGUUGUUAGGGAAGAACAAGUACUAUAGUAACUGAUAGUACCUUGACGGUACCUAACCAGAAAGCCACGGCUAACUACGUGCCAGCAGCCGCGGUAAUACGUAGGUGGCAAGCGUUGUCCGGAAUUAUUGGGCGUAAAGCGCUCGCAGGCGGUUCUUUAAGUCUGAUGUGAAAUCUUACGGCUCAACCGUAAACGUGCAUUGGAAACUGGGGAACUUGAGUGCAGAAGAGGAGAGUGGAAUUCCACGUGUAGCGGUGAAAUGCGUAGAGAUGUGGAGGAACACCAGUGGCGAAGGCGACUCUCUGGUCUGUAACUGACGCUGAGGAGCGAAAGCGUGGGGAGCGAACAGGAUUAGAUACCCUGGUAGUCCACGCCGUAAACGAUGAGUGCUAGGUGUUAGGGGGUUUCCGCCCCUUAGUGCUGAAGUUAACGCAUUAAGCACUCCGCCUGGGGAGUACGGCCGCAAGGCUGAAACUCAAAAGAAUUGACGGGGGCC